GACGAACGCUGGCGGCGUGGAUUAGGCAUGCAAGUCGAAACGGUAUCAUCCUUUCGGGGGUGAGAGAGUGGCGAACUGGUGAGUAACACGUAGGUUAUCUACCCUCAAGACGGGGACAACCCAGGGAAACUUGGGCUAAUACCGGAUGUGAGCAACUUUUAGUUGUUUGAAAGGUGGCGUAAGCUGUCGCUUGGGGAUGAGCCUGCGUCCUAUUAGUUAGUUGGUGAGGUAACGGCUCACCUAGGCAAUGAUAGGUAGGCGGCCUUAACGGGUGGUCGCCCACACUGGGAUUGAGAUACGGCCCAGACUCCUACGGGAGGCAGCAGUCGAGAAUAGUCUACAAUGGUCGGAAGACUGAUAGUGCGACGCCGCGUGAACGAUGAAUCCCUUCGGGGUGUAAAGUUCUUUUAUAUGUGAGCAGUGCUUCUAUAUUAACAGUAUGGGGAGAGAGAUAUUAGCAUAUGAAUAAGCAACGGCUAACUCCGUGCCAGCAGCCGCGGGUAAAACGUC
rnacentral:rRNA from 1 species